UCCACGACGCCCCCGUUCCUGUCUUCGUCUUCCUCCAACGAUCUACUGCCCACCCACUUCUAUUCACGACUCGCAAAAAAUCUCCUUCCUCUCCUGAUCCACCACCUUCGCCGACGCCUCGCCUCGCCUCGCCGCCGAUAUUUGUUUGCCCUCCUCGCUCCUCGCCUCCGCCGGCCGACCGAUUGCAUGCCAUCUCCUCCCAUCCCUCCUCGAAAAAGCCGACUAUAUGCGAUGCCCUUCUCAUGCUUGUUUGAUUCCUAGGGCUAGGUGCAUGCCCAUGACACUUGCAUCCAACCACCAGGUCAAUUUUUGUUGGUUUCCAUCAACAACAAAGAAAGUUGCCCCCCCCCCCCCCCCCCUUUUGCGUUGAGCGUCUUACACAUUGCUCCUUUUGACCUACUCCAUCGAUAUUUGUUGCGGCGACGAUUGCCUUGUACGAAGAUGACCAUGCCCAUCACAGGCAUUGCUGCACCUUGCCCUGGCCACCUAUGAAUUGAAAUGGCAAAGUGCAAGGAGCAAUCAUUAAGCCACACGCUCAUCAGGAUGUGGCUUCCCAUUCAUUCCCAGGAGUCAUGUUCAACUUGUUUCGUUCUUCCUUGAAAGAAAGGCUGAAUGAAAGAUGCAUGGCAUUUACAGGUUGGUGCCAUUGAGAUUGAUGAUGCCGAUGUUGUUACCCCCCAAAAGCGGAAGGCGCCGAAAGCCGAGACGUGGAAGCAUUAUGUAGAAAGGCAAGAUGAGCCUGAGUUGUGUGUUUUUCUUUGUUCGCUGGUAGUUGUGGCAGUGUGACAAAUGAUAUUGC